CAGUGAAGAUGACAUCACCUCAACAACACGGAAUUUGAUUGGCUCCCUCCACACUAGUUCAGAAGUUCCAGUCAGCCCAUUCAGCGAUUCUACUUUAAGAAUCACUGAUUCCAGCAUUUCCAUAAUUCCACCAGUGUGUGCACGUAUAUAGAAUCGACCCUGUUACGGUAAGAUGGAAAACUGUAAAGUGCUCCCAAGUGGCGCAGCGGUCUAAGGCACUGCAUCUCAGUGCUAGAGGCAUCACUACAGACCCCGCUUCGAUUCCAGGCCGUAUCACAACCGGCCGUGAUUGGGAGUCCCAUAGGGCGGCGCACAAUUGGCCCAGCGUCAUCCGGGGUACCCUCUGGCUGGCAUGGAGAGAAAAAGGUCAGAGGAAGCAUCACUACAUAACACUAUGCUAGUAACACCAAUGCUAACGCACAAAUUCAAUGUUUUCAUUAGGUCAAUGCAAUGCCUCAACAAAAUGCCACCCAUUAAAGGUACAGAAUGUAUGCCACCCAUUAAAGGUACAGAAUGUAUGACACCCAUUAAAGGUACAGAGUGUAUGCCCCCCAUUAAAGGUAGAUCAUUUAUGCCACCCAUUAAAGGUACAGAGUGUAGGCCCCCCAUUAAAGGUAGAUCAUUUAUGCCACCUAUUAAAGGUACAGAGUGUAUGCCACCCAUUAAAGGUACAGAAUGUAUGCCACCCAUUAAAGGUACAGAGUGUAUGCCACCCAUUAAAGGUGCAGAGUGUAUGCCCCCCAUUAAAGGUAGAUAAUUUAUGCCACCCAUUAAAGGUACAGAAUGUAUGCCACCCAUUAAAGGUACAGAAUGUAUGCCCCUCAUUAAAGGUGCAGAGUGUAUGCCACCCAUUAAAGGUAGAUCAUUUAUGCCACCCUUAAAGGUACAGAAUGUAUGCCCCCCCAUUAAAGGUACAGAAUGUAUGCCCCCCAUUAAAGGUACAGAGUGUAUGCCCCCCAUUAAAGGUACAGAGUGUAUGCUCCCCAUUAAAGGUACACAGUGUAUGCCCCCCAUUAAAGGUACAGAGUGUAUGCCCCCCAUCAAAGGUACAGAAUGUAUGCCCCCCAUUAAAGGUAGAUCAUUUAUGCCACCCAUUAAAGGUAUGCUACAGAGUGUAGUGUAAUGCCUCUGAGUAAAGAUGUGGGGGAAUCCUAUGGUUAAACACUGAGUUCGCCUCCAGAUUAAGCAUUAGAGUCAGCAUUGGCCGGCAUCCCUGUGAAACGCUUUCGACACCUUGAAGAGUCCAUGCCCCAACGAAUUGAGGCUGUUUCAAUGGCAAAAGUGGGGGGUGUUCUUAAUGUUUUGUACAUUCACUGUAUGUCUGGAUUGGAGAGCAGGCAUGGCAUAUUGUCCUAAUAACAAAAUACAUUUUGCCAAAUGCAAGAGAUAGGUGCUGGGGUGUAAUUACAGAGUAAUACAAAAUGUUCUUUACAGACUGGAACUUAAUAAUGUCAACCAUUUUAGUUAGCCUACAGAACAUAAUCCCUCUGAGUACUGAUGGGCACAAUCCUACAGAUGGUUAUACAGUAUUCCCAGAGGGGUGUGGGGUAAUCCUACAGAUGGUUAUACAGUAUGCCCAGAGGGGUGUGGGGUAAUCCUACAGAUGGUUAUACAGUAUGCCCAGAGGGGUGUGGGGUAAUCCUACAGAUGGUUAUACAGUAUUCCCAGAGGGGUGUGGGGUAAUCCUACAGAUGGUUAUACAGUAUUCCCAGAGGGGUGUGGGGUAAUCCUACAGAUGGUUAUACAGUAUGCCCAGAGGGGUGUGGGGUAAUCCUACAGAUGGUUAUACAGUAUGCCCAGAGGGGUGUGGGGUAAUCCUACAGAUGGUUAUACAGUAUGCCCAGAGGGGUGUGGGGUAAUCCUACAGAUGGUUAUACAGUAUGCCUAGAGGGGUGUGGGGUAAUCCUACAGAUGGUUAUACAGUAUGCCCAGAGACUAGAACUGCACACAGCCUUAUUGUAAAGGAAAUGUCUCUAUAGUUCAGUGUUGAUUGGAACAAGGUGUCUGGGUAGAAUUACACAAAAGUCCUAUUCAAUGCAGUAUAGUAAUUAAACGUUUUCAUAAAUUAGAUGGGAGACCUCAGCAAAAUGUCCUUAAACAUCAUCUAAAAGGUACCCCUAUAUAAUAAACUAAGUCUCAGGACCUCCGUAAAAUGUGCUUAACCUAACCUAGGCCUACUUAUAAUCCCAGACAGGUACAUAGUAAACUUUACAUUUAGUCCCAGACAGGUACAUAGUAAACUUUACAUUUAGUCCCAGACAGGUACAUAGUAAACUUUACAUUUAGUCCCAGACAGGUACAUAGUAAACUUUACAUUUAGUCCCAGACAG
rnacentral:lncRNA from 1 species